rnacentral:rRNA from 1 species
UACGUAGGGUGCAAGCGUUGUCCGGAAUUAUUGGGCGUAAAGAGCUUGUAGGCGGUUUGUCGCGUCUGCUGUGAAAUUUCGGGGCUCAACCCCGAACUUGCAGUGGGUACGGGCAGACUAGAGUGUGGUAGGGGAGACUGGAAUUCCUGGUGUAGCGGUGAAAUGCGCAGAUAUCAGGAGGAACACCGGCGGCGAAGGCGGGUCUCUGGGCCAUAACUGACGCUGAGGAGCGAAAGCGUGGGGAGCGAACAGG